AAGACUCUACUUUCAGGGAUCAUUUCUUUAGUUUGGAACUAGAGGAUUGUGUUUCUACAGAGGUUGGUCUUGCUGUCCAUGAUGAUGAAUGAAGAUGUUUUCUUCAGAGCAGGAAGCUGGUGAGAAGAUGAGAAUCUUCUUCACUGAUGAAGACUGUUCAGUGUUUCUGGAUGUGACACUGAGGGAGGAAACAUUGUCUGAGUGGA
rnacentral:snoRNA from 1 species